CCCAGUGUUGUGUCGGACGUCACUAGCACCUGUCACGUCUGACAUUAUUUGUGAGAAAUUCGGAGCCUUUCGCGUUCAUAGUUCGUAUUAUGUGCUCGCGAAUGUUGUAGGUGGAGCUCAUACUUUUUUAGUUUUUGCGCUCUCGUUCCACUUUUCGAAAGUAAUCUUUUAUCAUUUCAAAAUUCAAUGCUGUGUGGUGUGAUUACCUUGAUGUUUGGUUUCUAAAGUGAUGUGUGAAGGCUGUACUUAGGUCGAAUUGUGAAUAUGAUGUCACUUUUAUUCUGCGUGAUACCUUGAAAACAUGAGUGUUAGUGUUGAGGGGGACGUGUCGAGCCCCCUGUCGGACGGGCAGGACGCGACGAUCUCCAAGUCGUCGUCAGACAGUCUGAAGAUCGACGAGGAGCCUUGUCAAGAUGAGAAAUCCGAGCCGAGUACUCCGAAACCACAUCCGAUGGCCUUUACCAUCGACUUCGGUGGGACGAAGCCUGUUGACAAACGGAAGUUGGAGGAGCUGGCGAAGAAAUCGCAGGCUCGCCAUCAGAGAGUCCAGUCGAUGUCGGCAAGUCUCACCAGGCCCAGUCCAGCCCUACAGCGUCCUCCCAUGAGCGCCAAACUCCCCCGCAAAGCCCAAGGCUACAACUCGGAAGGCUACUUCUCCUCAGACCAGGAGGACAGUGGCCUGUCUGGGUCAGUGAAGCUACGAAACAGUCCAUUAGCACAAAAUGCAACGCACAUAACAAGUCCUAAUACAAAUAGACAUAUUAAAUCCCCUGUAACUGACCCUGUCCUGCCAAAACGCACGUCCAAGAGUCCCAUAGUUGAUAGUAUUAUGUCCAGGAGUGAUAACUUUACUUCCCGUCAGGGUCUGAACCUGCCUUUGAAGGGAAACUCCUACACAAGAGAUCAGAUACACAGAACACCAAGUUAUGGCAACAUCAAUAGGCAUGUUAUGGGUGAUAUAAUAGACCAGAGCCCUGAGGGACUGAUGCUGACUGAUAUAUCCAGUCCUGAGUUAGAUAUCUUAACACCAGACAAUGGUUUGUCCACUCCUGAGCACUCCAAGAGUCCACUGAUACGCAAAAGCAGAGCAUCUUCAGAAACUCCAGAUUUGUUCAAGAAAUGCAUUGCUAGUGAACCGUUGUACAUUGAUGAUGAGGUGGAUGCACAGUCUGACAACUCUUCAACUGGUACCUACACUAUUGCGGUAGAUAAUUACACGGAGGAACAGAAAGCUAGGAUGAGCAUUGAUAGAACCUUCGGUACUUCAAUACCUCAUGCAGUUGACGAACCCCUUACAAAAAAAGGCAGUGAGACAGAUCCUGAACUAGUUUUCGACUUCCCAAACCCUCAAAGAGUGAUCACAAAAGAACCUAGAAGAGACAUAGCCCUCCGUAGUCCAUUACUCAACCAAUCAUUUGAAAUUCCCAAAAUAUCUAAAGAUAAAAAUGUGUUAGAGAUCUCAUGCUGUUACGAAUCGCCCACUGAGAAUGAUUUGGCAGCGCAAACAUCAAAACAGAUUAAAUCUACACGGAGUUACUUAGAAAAGAUAAAGAAUAGAGUCAGAACCAUCACUGAAAAGACUUUCGCAAAGUCUCCGCCAAAGGAUGAUGAUGCUGACAUUGGUAGCUUUACUUCGGUUACAACAUCUGGAGUAUUAAGUUCUCGAAUCCCUCCUAAGUUAGAGCCUGUGCUACGUAGAUGUAGCCUAACGAAGUCAGAGAUUGAUCAGACUGAUUAUGUUCAUCGGUUGUCUAGAGAGUCUUCGGUACCGGUGUCUUUACCGAGUACUAAAAUGGGAUUGGAGGAGCCUAAAUUCGAGAGCACAGCAUUGAAAAAUGCCCAGAAAGCUUUGAGGGAAGAGUGUGGUAUUGGUGCGAUGUCUUCGGACAUGACACCGGAGCAGGUGGUAGGGAAGCUGUCAUAUUUGAGCCUGAACAGGUGCAAGGGAGAUAAGACGUGGAUCCAGGACUGGGCUGAGAGUGUCAAGAAGUACAACACUAACAGUUUGACUAAGGAGGAAGGUGUUCUGGAUGAUAGACCGCCUUUGAGCCCUCGACAACUGCCAAUUAAACCCCGCAGCCCGCUCGCUGGGACGCCCACAAAGAUACCCAGUCCCGUUGGCACUCUGUUAUCAAGGAGAACGCCGGACCUCAUCCCAACCCAGGAGACAGAAUCCUACCUCCAAAAAACGCAAAAUGCCAUCACAAACCUACAAGCAAAGCUUCAGUCUUCAAGGACGAACAAUUUCAGCAGCAUUCCCUCAGCACUCACCUCGAGCCUCAUCAGCGAGAAGACCGCGAUCUCUCGCCUCCCGAUCUCACAGCUCAGCCGUUCCAAUUCACUCAACUACCGUCUUCGGAGAAAAGACCACUCAAAUGACAGCAGUCCUCUAAGAAGUCCAGGUCACUACGUCAUCACUGGGUCUACUAAAGUCCCAGAAAGCACGAAGAUAUUACUAAACUCUGCGUCACGGUCUUUAGAUACGGAUAGAAGACAUGAUUUGAACAUGAACAGUCCGUCAUCUGACCGAGGGUUGUUAAGUAACAGUUCAGAUGACAAAACACUGUCAAAUAGACCACCGUACGAUGUAGAAGCUAUACUGUCUCCUCACAGAAAGACUCACUCGCGGAACAGGACAUUUGAAAGCCAAACACACGAUGUCAGCAACGCCAACCCCUCCGUAUGUCUCAAGACUGUCUUGAAAAACAACGCCUUGGAUUCAAAGUACCCCCGUAUCGAACCAACACGUUGUCAAGGAGACAAGAAAUGCCACCAGAGAGUAUUAAGCGAUGGUCUCAAAUACAAACCGAAUAACCUCGGCUUCGGCUCAUCGAUUAAAAGAUCGAGUUCAUUCAACACAGUUAAUAAGAACAAUAAUUAUAUCGAUCCUAGAAUUACGUCCAGAAGAUCGAGUGGACAUUCGGAAGAAUAUAAAGAUUAUUCCGAUGAAUCCGAUAACGGAUCUUAUGAUAAAUCACAAGAAUGUAGAUACAAGAGACAAGUCAUAAACAGAGGCAGAAUCGAUUCACCAGAUCUAAAAUCGAUAGCGCCAGCAAACUCUCCAAGAAGAUGUCCGAAUACACCAGAAAUGCAUAGGAAAUUUGGACCAGGAUUGGUGCGAAAUUCUGUGAGAGUAACCAAUAAGGAGCGCUUGAUGAGUCCUAGAGUGUCUGAACAGCCAAUCGUGAGGGAAGAGAGAGUUAAACCGACCAAUCAUCAAAGCCGGAGGUCAGCGGAACCGAGACAGACGACGUUGGCUAGACUGACUAAGUCUAGGUCUUCGACGCGGGAAGUUCAACCUAAACAUCUAGAUAAAGGCCAAAAGAAACCGAGCCAGCACCGUUCAUCAUCAGCUCUAGCCACAAAGGAGAUUGAGUUCUCAAACUGGAAGAAGCGAGCGUCCUACGACCCCAUGAAGGCAGCCCAGGAAGACAAGAGGAGGAAGCAGCUGGCUAAACGUCAGGACUGCAAUAAAGAUGAUCUGAGUUCGCCUAGCCACUCCUCUCCAGUCCACCGCUCCCAGUCGUUCCACACCAGCAACAUCGCAGACCUGGAAACCCUGGACUACUCCUCAGAGGAGACAGAGGAUGACCAGAUGCUGGUCACUUUGCCCGUGGACCCUAUGAUCACGUCCACUCAUUCAGACAUAUUGGAUCUGAGGCCUAAAGACUAUGGCAACUUGAGGAGACAAGCCAUGACCAAUGACGUGGUCCUAUCCAGGGACUAUGUCACCAGUUUUCAGAUAAACCAAUCAGCGCAUGACAAAAAGCGGCGGGAAGCGCGCGAGGCAGAUAAAAGAAAAACCUUCAUCAUAGACGACAUAACUCCUACCAAAGAGAACAUAGACUUCUUGACAAAGACAAGAGAGGAUUCGGUCACAGAUAAGCGCAAAACUUUUAUUCUCGAUAGCGAUACCAAUUCUACAACGAACGGUAGUAGUCCACGGAAUUCUUCAAUAUUUAGUCAUGAAAAGAAUUCUUUGACUACUGGCACUAGUGAUACGGAGGGCGAGAGUGGAACUGAAAGCGCUCCUGUAGUGAUGAGGCAUCAAGGAGGGAAGAGGAGUGCGCCUGUGCAGGCUAAACAGAGGUACAGCGGUGACUACUCCAUGUCAUCGUCAACCACCUCGAUCGGCCAACGGAAGCCGACGGUCCAGCCCCGGUACCUGGACAUCUCCAAGUACAAGAACGAACAGUCCCCGAAGAACUUCCUCCGACGGGAUCCCAGUAAGACUUACGUAGGGGUGCUCAACAACGAUAAGGCUGUCAGCAAGGGGAGCGCUCAGCAUUAUGAAAUGGAACAAAAGAAACAAGAAUUAGAGAAGUGGAAACGAAGGGCAUCGUACGACCCGAGGAAGGCGGCUGCACUCGGAAAGUCGAACAAGACGCCGUCAAAGACCGCUAGAGCGUGACAAAUCACAAAAUGCAUGCAAUUCCGUGUAAGUGACAUGCUGGCCGCCAUCUUGACGUGUAAGUAGCGUGCUUCGCUCACAAUCCUUCCAUGGUCCCGUUACGGCGUACACAGGGCUUCGCCCCCCGCCUCCGGACCAGAUCUGCGAGACGUAUGACGCUUCUAGUGACAACGACUUCUAAACGACACUGUCGACUCCGAUAUGUGAUAGGCCGCGUUUGUAUUUGGUAGACUAGUCUGUAACAUUUGUAUUCGCUUGAAACUAGAAAUAGAUUGACAGUAUACAAUUUGCUAUAAUGUAAAAACCCUAGCCUAACAGAAAAGAAAAACUCAUAUAAACUCAAAAUUUAACUAUAUUUAAACAUAUCUUAAAAUCCGCCCAAACUAUUGCAACAUUUAUAUCUUAAGAUUAUAUUAUGUAAAUCAAUAAAAAAUCUAGUCGUCUGUUCCUACAUAUAUUAAAAUAUCCCAACCAAGUUUGGAAAAAUUUAUAAGAACGUUACAUAUAUUUAUGGGACAGGGUUUCCUUAACAAAUUGUAUAUUGUCAAUAUUUCAGUCAAGUUCUGUCGAAAUGAUCUCUCAUUUGUUUUUCGACAGAUAUAAACGGUUUUACAGCGAAUUCAAAUGAGGAAUACGGCGCAGUGUGUUCAAUACUAAUUGUUAGAAUUAAGAGUUGGUUGUCGAUACAAAAUUACACAUUUCUGUAUACUUUGGCUCGACGCAAACUGGUUAGAAGCGGUUAGUACUGGUUAAUUGCAAUUAAACGCAUAAUAUUGCUGUAAUUCCUCGUGUGUUUGUGUUUGAACGCGGUAAAUACUUCAUUUCGAACAAGUCUUUGUAUUAUUUAUUUAAUAUUUAAAAUGAAAAACUAUAAAAAUAUGAUGUUACAUUUUCAUUCGUUGUGAGCGAGUCUUGUUUGGUAAUAAAUGUUCUUGCAUGCCAAUUUCUGAUUGGAAAUUUUGAAAUGCUAUAAAAAGAAAAGUACAUUAUUUUAUUUUAUUGAUUGUGUUAAUAAAUCAUUGUUAAUCGGUAUUGUAACAUCAAAUAGGCGUUUCUGUAUUUGGGGAGUAUUAAAUUAUUUAAGCAAAUGAAAUAUUACCUACCUAAACAUAAAGCGAAAAAAAAAAUCUUAGCAAAAAACUUGUAAUAGAAUAAAUUAAUAAAAAAAUUGUGUUGAUUUUAAUUAGACGUUGAUUCGUAGUGAAAAAUAUGAAAUUAUAUACUCAAUGAUGUUCCGGAAAAUUGUGAAAAUGAAUAUUUGAUUUUGAAAAUGGUGGCACAGACGACGCCAUUACUAAAAAAGUAGUUUUCCCGCCAAAUACAGAAUGAUGAACUAAGCCUUUUUCCGAAUGAUUUAUGAAAUUGAAGUCAUAAUUUUUAAUUAUUUGACGAUUAUUAUGAAAAUGUUAAUUAUUUGGGAGCGAUGCAAUUGUUUUUUUAUAUUAUUUAUAAGUUAUUCCGCACAAAACGAAAUUCCUUUAAUUACUUACAUGAAAAUGCAUCGUCUUUAAUUUAAUUUCUAUUUUUAUACUGAUAGUACUUGAUAUCUUUUUUGUUUUGUAAAAUAUGAUUUUCUCGUAAAUUUAAGCUCUUUAAUUAAGGAAACAUAUUAAAUAAUAAUAAUUAAAUGUGAUUUAUUAAUAAUGCCUAUGUUAUCUUUAGGAUUGGCUAUUAUUAUUUACCACUAAAAGUGUAUGAGAUUAGUAUUGUUUUUUUUUUCUAUUAUUAUCCGUCUUAGAUGAACGUAGAAUAAAUUCUCGCUAAUGUAAUAAUUAAAUAUCCAUUUAUAUUGCUCAUAUCAUUCAUACAUCGAUGUAUUUUAGAAAUAUGUAACCUCUUUUUAGUUAUUAGUGUUUUUCUUAUAGUGCAAUACCAUCACAUUGAUAAAAAAAACAUCUGAAAAUAUGAACAAAUGUUUCCGUUUAUAUUUUUGUAAAAUUUCGGUAUUAAAAUGUAUUAUUUCGGUUUACUCCAUUUUUUAUGUAUAAAGAAUUAUUUUUGCGUGAUUUUUUUCUCAGCUAUGUAAUAAUGGAUGACAGUAUUUUUUGCAAGAUUUUUUAAAAUAAAUGUGUAGAUUGCUGUGGACAUUUUAGAGACCUACUGUUGUAUUAUUGGUUUAGAUCCGCCAGGCUUGACACUGCACUGAACGCUAAAUGCAAAAUAUAUCUUCAUACUACAUAAAAUAAUAGGAAAACUCUUUUACUUUAAAAUAUUACUAUAACACUGAAAUUUAAUUCAAUGAAAUCUUCAGAUUUUUUUGUUAUUUUCUCUGAAAGAAAAAUAAUUUAUUUUUCAUUUUGUUUUAGUUACGUAAUAAUAUUUUAAAGUAAAGAGAAAAUCUAGAUCAUAACUCAAAAGUCUGCUAAUGUUUUUAAACUAAUGUUAUAAGGUUUUAAAUUCACAAUAUCAUCGUAAAAAAAUAAGCCAUUUGACGUUUCUCAAUGGAAAUUAAGAUGGCGGAUUUUUCUUUUUGUGGAAAUAUUGUGAAUUUAUUUAUCUCAAUUUUGAGUAGUGAUUUUACUAUUUAAUGAAUUAGUAGUAAGCCUGGCUUUGUUUCAAUGAGCGCAUUAAUGUACCAUAGACGCUGCAAGCGUUAAAAUAUUUGUAAAACAUAAUUUGAUGUUUAGAGUUUUGUAAAAAUAUUAUUUAAAUAGGAAAGAAAUAAAAAGAACGUUUAAAAUAA